CCUUUCCCUCUCCCUCUCGUAGGAUCAAGCUAAAGGCGCGUUGCAGUGUUGCUCGGCGUCUACGCCCACUUAGGUGCCGCUGCUCCUUUUCCUGCGGGGAAAAGCUAGCUCGUCGCACCAAGGCAAGCCAGGAGGGAGAGCUCAGAAGCGGCCGAGUUUCGUCAGAGACGUCGUCGAGCGUGACAAACGAUGGCCCCGCACUGAAAACGACAAGGCCGCCGGGUUGCUUCGCUCUGUCACGGCCAACCGCGUCGUCAUCAUCGUCGUCGUCGUUGUUGUUGUUGUUGUUGUGUGUGUGUGUUUUUUUUUUUUUGUUGUUUUUUUUUUUUAUGACCUCGGACUUUAGUCGUCAUUAGUCGCCGAAACACCCCCCCACGCCCCCCCUCCGCUAGGAAUGGAAUUCGUAUGACUGGACUGAUUAGCGGAGGUCCUCUCCUGUUGUCAACCUGCCGAGGAAAUCGACGUGAGCUCUUGGCCGCCCGCUGCCGCAGAGAGCGACACCAGCACACCGCUCGGGAUUGUUCCUCGCCGACCAGUGUCCGAGGCUUCCGGGCACCUGAACACACCGUAACCGCUGUGUCUGCUGCGUAUCGAUAAACGUGAAACGUUCCACCGUGUGCUUGCUCUUUUUUUUUUUUUUUUUUUUUUUUUGGGCUGCCUGUAUAAUGCCGGCACAUUUGCGUUUCCGGAGAAGGUCAUACCUUGGGCUUUUAUUCCUUUUCUCGCUCUCAACCUCAGCUCUUUAUUUCAUCUACUCCGCUCCUGGAAUCGUGAAUGAGUAUGUGUUCAUGGUCCAAGCCCGAGGGAUCCAGAUCAGAGAAAAUGUGAAGAAUAUCGGUGCUCAGGUCCUGGAGCAGGUGGUGAGAGGUGCCUACAGCAAUGGCACAGAUUACUCUUAUGACUUCAACAUGAGCGAAAGUGAUUCUCCUCCCACUGCAUACCUCCCUGAGGGCUUCACGUACCUCCCUUCACAAGUUUGCCCUGACAAGCUACCCUCCAUGAAGGGUAGGUUGGAGGUGAAUAUGAGUGAAGUGUCACUGGAGGAUGUGGAGAGAUCACUCCUGCAGGAAGAGUCUACUCUAGCCCCAGGAGGCCACUGGAAGCCUAAAGACUGUUUACCUCGCUGGAAGGUGGCAAUCUUAGUCCCGUUCAGGAACCGACACGAGCACUUGCCAAUCCUCCUGAGACAUCUGGUGCCAGUGCUACAGAAACAGCGGCUCCAGUUUGGCAUUUAUGUCAUAGAGCAGGCCGGCACAGAGCCAUUUAACCGAGCCAUGUUGUUUAACGUGGGCUACAAGGAGGCCAUCAAGGAUCUGGACUGGGACUGCCUGGUCUUCCAUGAUGUAGACCACCUCAUGGAGAACGACAGGAACUACUACGGCUGCACAGACAUGCCCAGACACUUUGCGGUCAAGCUUGACAAGUACUCGUACAUGCUUCCGUAUAAUGAGUUCUUUGGCGGUGUCAGCGGCCUAAGAGUGGGACAGUUCAAUAAGAUUAAUGGAUUUCCUAAUGCGUUCUGGGGCUGGGGAGGAGAGGACGAUGACCUUUGGAACAGGGUGCUGUACGCCAAUUACACCGUAAGCAGACCACAGGGAGAGCUGGGGCGCUACAUGUCCAUUGCACACCACCAUCGCGGAGAAGUCCAGUUCCUGGGCAGCCUCUGGUUUUCAUCACGACUGGAUGACUUCUCUGUCCGAGAGAGUUUCUGAUCUGAUCUGAGACGAUGUCCUGAUGCUAAACAGAAGACAGGCUGACGGUGCACUUGCGUUGGCAGGAGUCACAAUGACUCGUGUAAACUGCUGCCAGGUCAGGCAUUGCGGGGGAAGCUGCGAUUGCCGCAACUGAGCAGGCAACCCAGGCAACUGCCUAAAGCCUCGAGUUCAAGGGCCCUGCGAGAGACUGCUGACUUUGGCCCGUAUCAAUGACAAAACAGUGGGACGGCUUGAAAGACUGCAAUGUCUACACGUCGGGAAUACCCCGCAUAGGGCCCCUUACUACCUGCUGCUGGCUGGCGGCAAGUAGAGGGGCCUCGAGAGACGUAUCGACGACACAACUGGAAAACCCUGAUAUCGUAAUUACACGUCGAGAUUUGGGAAUCUCCCAUUAAUGAUAUAGCUUCAAUAUUCUUAUCGAUUGUCAUUGGGUAAGCGAAUGAAAUAUUACAAAUGGGCUUGUUUUCUUUAACUGUUUAAUAUCUUCAACUUUGGACAUAAGAUACAAUGUAGCCUGUGUGCACUCAUAUUCUCUAAUGAGACUUAAAAGCUUCAUGCAUCUUGGGAAAUUGCCCGAUUGCACUCUUAAUGGUCUCAACUUUAAACGUUGAAAGGAGAGAUUCUAUUUUAUAUCAUUCCUGACAGGUACAGACUUUUUUCACUGGAUACGUUUCCCAAGAUAUAACAUUUUGACUGCUAACAUUUGGGAAUAUUUACAGUGUUCCUUUUGCAUUCGACUUCAUCCAAAACUAACUCCGAUAUAAAACAAAGAAUUGUUGCGGAAAAAGAGAACAUUUGACCUGGUUUUGAUAAAUACCUUCCGGAUGAUUAUACACAGCCCUCUUUUCGAAACUGCAGACUCCAGAGAGACUCAAAAGAGUCUCACCAGAGGCCCAACGGAUAGAGGUGAGCGUCAGAGCAGCAAGACCCUCCGUGGACGGCUGGGUCUCAACACUUUAGAUUUUUUUUUUCCCCUGCUUUCUCGCUCUUCUAUCAUUCUUGCCAUCACGUGAGCCCAAUAACGACCAAACACGAGGUGCUUUAACCGGCCUCACCAGUGGCAGAGCACCAGUCGAAGUGCUGCUUCUUCUCUUUCCCUAAGAUUUGUAUUUUUUUGCUUUGGUAUAGAAAACAAAGAUUGCAAAAUUCAGCUCACGUGGUGCAACCUUUCCCGAAAUCGUCCAAAAAUAAUACGUUCUCUUUUUAUACUUAUUUUGAAUGUUGCUAUUGAAACGGAUGAAAUGCAUAAACGCUGCGCAUACCCUGUACAUACAGUAUUUACAAUCCCUAAAGGAGAUUAACACUGAUCAUUUCCUCUGCUCUCAUGAUCUAAGCAUGAUUUGUUGAAGACUUUUAACCUAAAAUAAAUUUUAAAAAAUCUUCUCAUAUUUCGAUGUGAUAAAUCUGGAACCAGCAUUCUUGUGCAAGAUCACGUUCAACACAGUUUUACAGUGAUGGCCAGAAGCGCAGUAAAUGGAAGAUUAUCCAUGUAAAUUCCAAACAAAUACGUCUGGUGCCCUUGUAGAUUUACAGCAACGAUAAGCAUUGCGAUGUGUGUUCGUGUAGUUGAGAGUUGACAAAAAAGCCUUUAUGAGUUUACAGCCGAUUGGGAGCAAGCGCUGCAUAAUGCGAAUGUGAAGUGUUACUCUAUAUCCGUUUUCACACAUCUGUCAAAGUCUUUUGGGUCUGUGGAUGAGAUUUUAUUGUUGUGUUUUACAAGAAAGAAGGAUGUCCUACUUGAUUGGUUGUAUGUGCACAUUUUAAACAGGUGUAACCAAGCAAUAAAGUCUUUUUAUAUCCCACGUCUAAUCACACACAUGCUUUAUCUCUACGAACAGCAACUAAUUCAUAAUGUACUUGAACUUGCUGCAACUUUGUUUUGUGUGCUUUGGUGCAGCGGGAGAAGAAUAGAUGACUUCCUAAUCUGGAGUGAAGAUUAGAUGUAUAUGAGGAGAGCUAUUUCCCUCCGGGAGCUAUUUUCACAAAAGAAUUCACAACCAAUAUAGCUCAAGGAGACUAUGAAGGAGAAUGUGCGAUGUUUGCUUUUGUGAUCGCGGGUGACAGACGUAAACGGUUGACCACACAGUUAAGUGUCAAAAGCAAAGGCACAAUGAACCUCUCAAUUUAUCGGCAGAGCCUGGCAACGAGAUAAGUGGGAGAAGAAAGAAAAAAAAUCUCAGCAGUAGAAAAAGAAGCUGCCAAUUUACCUAAUAAAUCCUAAAAAUCAUUAAAAGGUGCAACAUUGAUGUGCUCUGCAAAGAUCACCCUGCACACCAAUUUAUGUGUUUGUGCCUAUAAGAAAAUAAUCAGCCUAACUAUGGCACACGGCCAUCUUUUCUGCAAGUUUCCAUUGUUUCCAAGCUUGCAUUUGCACUUUAAUUUUCAUUACAAGUGUCCCAUCCAUCCAUCCAUCUAUCCAUCCAUUUUCUACCGCUUAUCCGGGUCGGGUCGUGGGGGCAGUAGCUUUAGCAGGGACGCCCAGAGUUCCCUCUCCCCAGCCACUUCAUCCAGCUCUUCCUGGGGGAUCUCGAGGCAUUCCCAGGCCAGCCGAAGGAUGUAGUCUCUCCAGCGUGUCCUGGGUCGUCCCUGGGGUCUCCUCCCGCUGGGACGUGCCCGGAACACCUCACCAGGGAGGCGUCCGGGAGGCAUCCGAAUCAGAUACCCCAGCCACCUCAUCUGGCUCCUCUCGAUGUCGAGGAGCAGCGGCUCUACUCUGAGAUCCUCCCGGAUGACCAAGCUUCUCACCCUAUCUCUAAGGGAGAGCCCGGACACCCUGCGGAGGAAACUCAUUUCGGCCGCUUGUAUCCAGGAUCUUGUUCUUUCGGUCACGACCCACAGCUCGUGACCAUAGGCGAGGGUAGGAACGUAGAUCAACCGGUAAAUUGAGAGCUUCGCGUUUCGGCUUAGCUCCUUCUUUUCCACAACGGACCGAUACAAAGUCCGCAUCACUGCAGACGCUGCACCGAUUCGCCUGUCGAUCUCCCGUUCCAUUCUUCCCUCACUCGUAAAGACCCCAAGAUACUUGAACUCCUCCACUUGGGGCAGGAUCUCAUCCCCGACCUGGAGAGGGCACGCCACCCUUUUCCAACUGAGGACCAUGGUCUCAGAUUUGGAGGUGCUGAUUUUCAUCCCAGCCGCUUCACACUCAGCUGCAAACUGCCCCAGUGAGAGUUGGAGGUCACGGCUUGAUGAAGCCAACAGAACCACAUCAUCUGCAAAAAGCAGAGAUGCAAUACUGAGGCCACCAAACCGGACCCCCUCUACGCCUCGGCUGCACCUAGAAAUUCUGUACAUAAAAGUUAUGAACAGAAUCUGUGACAAAGGGCAGCCUUGGCGGAGUCCAGCCCUCACCGGGAACGAGUCUGACUUACUGCCGGAUAUGCGGACCAAACUCUGACACCCCUGAAUAGUCCUUACCAGGGAUGCUGAGGAGUGUGAGUAGUUGGAUGACACCCAACAGUCCCCGUUCUUAAAAAGGGGGACCACCACCCCAGUCUGCCAAUCCAGAGGCACUGUCGCCGAUGUCCACGCGAUGUUGCAGAGGCGUGUCAACCAGGACAGCCCCACAACAUCCAGAGCCUUUAGGAACUCCGGGCGAAUCUCAUCCACCCCCGGGGCCCUGCCACCGAGGAGCUUUUUAACUACCUCGGUGACCUCAAACCCAAAGAUAGGAGAGCCCGCCUCAGAGAACCAACACUCUGCUUCCUCAUGGGAAGGCGUGUCGGUGGAAUUGAGGAGGUCUUCGAAGUAUUCUCCCCACCAACUCACAACGUCCCGAGUCGAGGUCAGCAGCGCCUCAUCCCCACGAUACACAGUGUUGGUGGUGCACUGCUUCCCUCUCCUGAGACGCCGGAUGGUGGACCAGAAUUUCCUCGAAGCCGUCCGGAAGUCUUUCUCCAUCGGCUCACCGAACGUCUCCCAUACCCGAGUUUUUGCUUCAGCGACCAUCAGAGAUGCAUUCCGCUUGGCCAGGCGGUACCCAUCAGCUGCCUCAGGAGUCCCACAGGCCAAAAAGCCCCGAUAGGACUCCUUCUUCAGCUUGACGGCAUCCCUCACCGUCGGUGUCCACCAACGGGUUCGGGGAUUGCCGCCACGACAGGCACCGACCACCUUGCGGCCACAGCUCCGGUCGGCCGCCUAAGCAAUGGAGGCGCAGAACAUGGUCCACUCGGACUCUAUGUCCCCCGCCUCCCCGGAACAUGAGCAAAGUUCUGUCGGAGGUGAGAGUUGAAACUCCUUCUGACAGGGGAUUCUGCCAGACGUUCCCAGCAGACCCUCACAAUACGUUUGGGCCUGCCAUGUCGGACCGGCAUUUUCCCCCACCAUUGGAGCCAACUCACCACCAGGUGGUAAUCAGUUGACAGCUCCGUCCAACUCUUCACCCGAGUGUCCAAGACAUGCGGCCGCAAGUCAGAUGACACGACCACAAAGUCGAUCAUCGAACUGCGACCUCGGGUGUCCUGGUGCCAAGUGCACGUGUGGACACCCUUAUGCUUGAACAUGGUGUUCGUUAUCGGUGACGAACACAGAAGUCCAAUAACAGAACACCGCUUGGGUUUUGAAUCACGCCCUUCAAGGUCUCACUGUCAUUGCCCACGUGAGUAUUGAAGUCCCCUAGCAGAACGAUGGAGUCCCCAUCGGGAGCGCUCUCCAGCACCCCCUCCAAGGACUCCAAAAAGGGUGGGUACUCUGAACUGCUGUUUGGUGCAUAGGCUCAAAAAACAGUCAGGACCCGUCCCCCCACCCGAAGGCGAAGGGAGGCUGCCCUCUCGUCCACGGUGGUGAACCCCAACGUACAGGCGCCAAACCGGGGGGCAAUAAGUAUACCCACACCUGCUUGGCGCCUCACCAUGGGCAACUCCAGAGUGGAAGAGAGUCCAACCCCUCUCGAGAGGACUGGUACCAGAGCCCAAGCCGUGUGUGGAGGCGAGUCCGACUAUAUCUUGUCGGAACUUCUCGACCUCACACACCAGCUCGGGCUCCUUCCCUGCCAGAGAGGUGACAUUCCACGUCCCUAGAGCCCGCUUCUUUAGCCGGGGAUCGGAUCGCCAAGGUCUCCACCUUCGGCCACCACCCAGCUCACACUGCACCCGACCCCUAUGGCCCUCCCACAGGUGGUGAGCCCAUGGGAAGGGGGACCCAUGUUACCCUUUCGGGCUGUGCCCGGCCGGGCCCCAUGGGUGCAGGCCCGGCCACCAGGUGCUCGCCUUCGAGCCCCACCACCAGGCCUGGCUCCAGUGGGGGGCCCCGGUGACCCGCAUCCGGGCAAGGGAAAAUGAAGUCCAUUGUUUGUCGUCAUCAUUAGGGGUCUUUGAGCCGUGCUUUGUCUGGUCCCUCAUCUAGGACCUGUUUGUCAUGGGUGACCCUGCCAGGGGCAUAAAGCCCCAGACAACUUAGCUCCUAGGAUAACUGGGACACACAAACCCCUCCACCACGACAAGGUGACGGCUCAAGGAGGGGUGCCUAACUAACCAUUACAAUUCGAUCCACCAGGAUACAUUGCAAGUACAGCGGUGCAUUCCGUGACCAUGCUUGUAAAUCUCAAAUCAUCUUUGGCUAUUGAAAUGAAUGGAAAUGCCAUUAAUGUGUUCCAGCUUCCCCCACAUUUUGCAAUUUUUUUAUGAAGGAAAUUGUUUACUUAAUAAAACAUAUCGGAAUGACAAUUAAAUAAAAUGUAAACAAUUGAACAGUUUGGGUAUCAUGAUUCAUUCAUUUGCGACUCAUUCUGGUCUGUGCAACUUGGCCACCAGGGGGCAGUAUAAUACAGUCAUUAAGACACAAAUGAAGAAGACUCAGUAACUAUUCGCUGUUUUUCAUUGAGGAUAGAAAAAAUAUGCCUGUGAGUAUUGUUACAUUGUCUGUCUAAAUUUGUUAAUGCAGCAUUUCUGUUUCGAUAUCCGUUGCUUAUAGGGUUAUAACACUGCAAAUAUCGAUGCUAUUUGUUAUCCCGUCUACGGGGUUUUGCAUUGUGUGUUAGCAUUAAGCUAGCAGACAGCAAAAUUGUUUGAUUGUUUUGCAUACGCAAAAUGUAAUUCUCUUUGUUUUACGUUUAGUUUGACAGUAAACUUCAAAUGGGAGUGGCAUUAAACAGUUUUUGAAAAAUUG